rnacentral:lncRNA from 1 species
AGAGGGAAGUGUGAGUUUAGUGCAUCCUAAUUCCUAGAAACUACAUGCCACCGUAGGUUUAGGAUCCUUGCCAGAGAGUUUCCUUCCUUUCCUAAUAUGGGCUCAGUUUAGUGAUUGCUCCAGUUCAGGUUCUACUCCGAUGGAAAGGAUAGAAUAACCCUCCUUAACAUGGGUCAGAUAUUGAACUCUACGAUAAUGCCGG